UCCCUGGUAGCUCAGAGGUUAAAGCGUCUGCCUGGAAUGCGGGAGACCUGGGUUCUAUCCCUGGGUCGGGAA
rnacentral:tRNA from 1 species